rnacentral:rRNA from 1 species
CCUACGGGAGGCAGCAGUGAGGAAUAUUGGUCAAUGGACGAAAGUCUGAACCAGCCAUGCCGCGUGCAGGAAGACGGCUCUAUGAGUUGUAAACUGCUUUUGUACGAGGGUAAAUCCCGUUACGUGCAUCGGGUUGCAAGUAUCGUACGAUUAAGGAUCGGCUAACUCCGCGCCAGCAGCCGCGGUAAGACGGAGGAUUCAAGCGUUAUCCGGAUUUAUUGGGUUUAAAGGGUGCGUAGGCGGUUCGAUAAGUCAGAGGUGAAAUCCCGGGGCGCAACGCCGGCACUGCCUCUGAUACUGUCGGGCUAAAGUUUAGUUGCGGUAGGCGGAAUGUAUGGUGUAGCGGUGAAAUGCAUAGAGAUCAUACAGAACACCGAUUGCGAAGGCAGCUUACCAGACUACGACUGACGUUGAGGCACGAAAGCGUGGGGAGCAAACAGGAUUAGAUACCCCAGGAGUC